rnacentral:rRNA from 1 species
CCUACGGGAGGCAGCAGUGAGGAAUAUUGGUCAAUGGCCGAGAGGCUGAACCAGCCAAGUCGCGUGAGGGAAGACGGCCCUACGGGUUGUAAACCUCUUUUGUCGGGGAGCAAAGCGUACCACGUGUGGUUCAUUGAGAGUACCCGAACAAAAAGCAUGGGCUAACUCCGUGCCAGCAGCCGCGGUAAUACGGAGGAUGCGAGCGUUAUCCGGAUUUCUGGGGUUUAAGGGGUGCUCUGGCGGAGGUGCAAGUCAGCGGUAAAAUUGCGGGGCUCAACCCCGUACUGCCGUUGAAACUGCAUCCCUUGAGUGCGCGAGAAGUAUGCGGAAUGCGUGGUGUAGCGGUGAAAUGCAUAGAUAUCACGCAGAACUCCGAUUGCGAAGGCAGCAUACCGGCGCGCAACUGACGCUCAUGCACGAAAGCGUGGGUAUCGAACAGGAUUAGAUACCCCAGUAGUC